UGUUGCACGUAUAUUCCUAAUAAUACCAGUCCAGAUGAUAGUUUUAAACUUCACAAUCUAAGGCGGGCUUGAUGCACUGUCUGCUAAGAUGAGGUCCACGGGGGGGGGGAGGAGUCUGUUCUCUUGGCCUGGUUUGGUAAGUACACUGGUAUGAUGGUUACUGGAUUUCUGACCCUAAUUCUUGUAUUAUUUGUUAUUGAUGUGAUGUGCUGCUUGCAUCAUACCGUGUUUUGAGAAGUCUGUUACAGAUGUGGUGAGGGCUUCAGGCAUAUGCCUUUGCUUGAUGCUCCAGUUGGCGAUGCUGAUACGGACGCAUGCUUUCAGGGGAGGAUGGGACUGACUGAUGAUGACACAUGGUUUGGAGUCCCUGGGUGGCAAGGAGCCCACCUGGUACAGGAUAGGAGUAGCUGAGAGGACCAGAUGGUUUCUAAUAAUUCUUUACUCUGUUAUCCAUGACCAAAGUUUUAUCCUACAUCUUACAUGUCAAUAACAAUAAAGUUUUAUCCUGUUUUUGAUAAGUGACACCCUUGGGGGGAACAAAAGCAUACAACAAAGGCAUAUAUAACUUGUUAUUAGUAAUAAACUUUUUAUUAUUUUCAUGAAAUGCUAUGACUGCUGAAAUAAAGGAUAAUUGAGUGACACCCUAGCAGGAGUCAAAAGGGGGACCUAAAUUUCACACUAUUUUCUUUUGUUCUGUUUUUGAAUGAGCUGUUCUCUUUUGACAUGAAGGUAGUUUAAACUUUGUAACUGUUAUAUGAUUCAUGGCUGAGUUUUUGUUCACACCCUUGGGGUUAUUUUACAUUAUAGCCAUUACCAUAUAUAUGAUUGAAUAUUAUCUGCUGUUGCCUUGUGUGGAUGUAUGUAUGUGUUAUGCUACCUAGCUGAUUUGAAACAUUGUUAAAAGUAUCAGGGCCAUGGAACUUUCUCAUGCUGGAAAAAUACAGAAGGAAGGGCACAUUCAGAGCGUGGGGUUGCGAGAACAAGCGGUCUUUUUGGUUAGAUAACAGGAGCCAGGUGCGAGAUAACGGUAUGGAGCAUGAGACCCAUCUCAGUUUUUGCAGCAAUUUUAGGAGGGGGAUCCAGUUGCUUUUAUUGAUUAAGCUUCUCCAUUGUAUGUCGUGUCCCAUCUGGGAUGGGAAGAGGGGAAAUUAUUUUUCUUUGUGGGCCAUUUCCGGAUAGACAUACCUAGUUUAGGAUAUUUUUCCUUUUUGGAUUAUGUCUUCGUUUUUGCUUGGAGUAAUGUAUCUGGACUAUAUCACAUCUCUUAGGAGAUGUGAAGAGAGGGUAUCACAACUUUUUCCUGCUGGAAAAAGUUGGCUAAUGUGGACAAUAAUUUCUACUUUUAUUUUGAGCUGUUCUCCGCUCUGUUAAAUGAGGGUUGUAAGUUCCUAGGUGGCUGGUAGCCAACUUAGUACAUAGUGGGAUUGAAUGGAGAACAUGAUGGUAAUACAUAAAUAUCUAUUUCUGUUUAAUACCGUGCCUUAUUUCAUAGUCCUUUUGGGAGAAGUUUCUCUUUGUGUCUGGACCUAGUUAGGUUGUGUCACGUCUCUGGUGAGACGUGAAGAGAGGGUUUUGUAAAGAAUUGCUAUUAUGCAGGAGACCAAUCUACUGCUAAAUACGUGGCUAUUGCAUUGUUAUAACUGAGACAACACAUAGCAACGUAUUUUCACAGUAAAGCCUGUGGGGUCCCCUACAGGAUAGCUCCCACAUUACACACAUAAUCUCCCUUUUAAACGAACACUGUGUGCCCGAAGAAAAUUCUACGAUGACGGACAGACAACUGAGCCAAUGGCGGAAGACUACAGACUACAACCAGCUGAACCAAUCCGGAGAUCCGAUCUUCCUAGGGUCAACCUACUUUCUGUGACGUAUAUAAGAGCUGUGCUGACUGUUUACGCUCUCUCUGCCUGCUGUUCCAACUCGAACUAACGGAAGAGCCGUAUUUACGUGUACCAGAUAUUCUCCCUCUGAAAAAAACUGUCGCUUGUCGUACAAUUUUAACACCUGGUCUGAAUCGAUCCUUAACCGGCUCACCCUUCUAAUAUCCUUUUAUCAACAAUAGAGAUAAAGUGGAGUCGCAAUUCAAUGGCACAGACACGAGACGUAUAGGCAGGAACUACAGAAGGAAAACCAGCCACGUGUUCCGAGACCGAAGUCUUGCUUCAGGACGGGCUAAACACAUUCUUCUUACACUUUCACUACUGCCUCAUGCCAUGAAUAUGCAUAGCCAUAUGCAGUGCCACCGACGCGGCCCGCUACCAACAACUGUGGGCUCUCCUUCUCCGUGGCCGAACAACCAGUGAUCCGGGUCAACAGCAUCAAUGUAACAGUAUAACUUUAGACCGUCCCCUCACUCAUACCCGGGCGUGAACCAGGGACCCUCUGCACACAUCAACAACAGUAACCCACGAAGCAUCGUUACCCAUCACUCCACAAAAGCAGAGCAAGGGGAACUAGUCAAGGAACAUAUCCCCUCUACCUUACCUGCCACACUAGACCCACUUCAAUUUGCUUACUGCCCUAUCCCAUCUGGACAAGAGGAAUACCUAUGUAAGAAUGCUGUUUAUUGACUGUAGCUCAGCAUUCAACACCUUAGUACCCUCCAAGCUCGAGGCCCUGGGUCUGAACUCCACCCUGUGCAACUGGGUCCUGGACUUCCUGACGGGCCACCCCCAAGUGGUGAAGGUAAGAAACAUCACCUCCACUACGCUGAUCCUCAACACUGGGGCCCCACAAGGGUGCGUUCUCAGCCCCCUCCUGUACUCCCUGUUCACCCAUGACUGUGUGGCCAUGCACACCUCCAACUCAAUCAAGUUUCCAGACGACACAACAGUAGUUGACUUGAUUACCAACAAUGACGAGACGGCUUACAGGGAGGUGUUGAGGGCUCUGGGAGUGUGGUGCCUGGAAAACAACCUCUCACACAAUGUCAACAAAACAGAGAUGAUCGUGGACUUCAGGAAACUUAUUUUCCACCAUAAUUUACAAAUUAAUUAAUUAAAAAUCCUACAAUGUGA